CUUUUGCUGGCGACCGGCGCACGGGUGAGUAACACGUAUCCAACCUGCCCUUUACUCGGGGAUAGCCUUUCGAAAGAAAGAUUAAUACCCGAUAGCAUAAUGAUUCCGCAUGGUUUCAUUAUUAAAGGAUCCCGGUAAAGGAUGGGGAUGCGUUCCAUUAGGUUGUUGGUGAGGUAACGGCUCACCAAGCCUUCGAUGGAUAGGGGUUCUGAGAGGAAGGUCUCCCACAUUGGAACUGAGACACGGUCCAA
rnacentral:rRNA from 1 species